rnacentral:rRNA from 1 species
UCAAUAAGCGGAGGAAAAGAAACUAACAAGGAUUCCCCUAGUAACUGCGAGUGAAGCGGGAAAAGCUCAAAUUUGAAAUCUGGUGGUCUUUGGCCAUCCGAGUUGUAAUUUAGAGAAGCGUCUUCCGCGCUGGACCGUGCACAAGUCUCCUGGGAUGGAGCGUCGUAGAGGGUGAGAAUCCCGUCUUUGGCACGGACACACCAGGGCUUUUGUGAUGCGCUCUCGAAGAGUCGAGUUGUUUGGGAAUGCAGCUCAAAAUGGGUGGUGAACUCCAUCUAAAGCUAAAUAUUGGCGAGAGACCGAUAGCGAACAAGUACCGUGAGGGAAAGAUGAAAAGCACUUUGGAAAGAGAGUGAAACAGUACGUGAAAUUGUUGAAAGGGAAACGCUUGAAGUCAGUCGCGUCGACCGAGACUCAGCCUUGCCUCGGCUCGGUGUACUUUUCGGCCGACGGGUCAGCAUCAAUUUUACCCCUUGGAUAAUGGCGAGGGAAAUGUGACACCUUUACGGUGUGUUAUAGUCUCUCGUCGCAUGCAAGGGUUGGGAUUGAGGAACUCAGCACGCGCCUUUGGGCGUCGGGGUCUUUGCCCACGAUACGUGCUUAGGAUGUUGGCGUAAUGGCUUUAAACGACCCGUCUUGAAAC